UACGGAAGGCAGCAGUGGGGAAUAUUGCACAAUGGGCGCAAGCCUGAUGCAGCCAUGCCGCGUGUAUGAAGAAGGCCUUCGGGUUGUAAAGUACUUUCAGUCGUGAGGAAGGUGUUAAGGUUAAUAACCUUAGCAAUUGACGUUAGCGACAGAAGAAGCACCGGCUAACUCCGUGCCAGCAGCCGCGGUAAUACGGAGGGUGCGAGCGUUAAUCGGAAUUACUGGGCGUAAAGGGCACGCAGGCGGUUAAUUAAGUUGGAUGUGAAAUCCCCGGGCUUAACCUGGGAAUGGCAUUCAAGACUGGUUAGCUAGAGUCUUGUAGAGGGGGUAGAAUUCCAUGUGUAGCGGUGAAAUGCGUAGAGAUGUGGAGGAAUACCGGUGGCGAAGGCGGCCCCGUGGACAAGACUGACGCUCAUGUGCGAAAGCGGUGGGGAGACAAACGAGGUAUUAGACUACC
rnacentral:rRNA from 1 species